rnacentral:lncRNA from 1 species
AAAUUAGAUUAUGAUAUUGAACUAUAUAUACAUCCGGUUUGAUCUGGGUCAAUUCAAACAUUAUCUUGUCCGACUCAAAUCUAAUUAUUUAUGUAUUUAACAAUUAAAACGGGCUGACCCGAUUUAGCAAACGGUCAAACCCCGGUCGAACCAUCAAACCCUGGACCCAUAGCCUCAACCGUUCGAUCUUCGAUCUGGUUCUGAAAAUAUUAGUAAACAUUGGAAUACAAAACAGGUUAUUACAAAACAAUUAUCAAUAUUAUCCAAAUAGGCAUAUCACAUAAAGAAUUCACCUUUAUGUAAAUCCUAACGUACAAGUACAUCAUCCAUAACAAAUAUUCAUCAACAAGUAAGCAUCAUCAUAAAUUAUAAUGCAACUCAAUCAAGUUAGGUUCAUUAUGAAUGGUAAUAUCAUAGUUUUCAAAUAAUUCAUAUAAUAGUUAUCAUAAUCAUAAUGUUAAUUCUUAUACUUAUUCUUAACCUUAUGCAAGGUAUUUGAUUCUUACUUCUCACGAGGUCCCCCAACUCAACUAACUAGCCCUACCGCCAAUUUGUAAGAUUCGUAAAUGUCCCGGACCACAUAUCCAUCAGAAAAUAAUUAAUAAGGGCAAAACCAGCCUGAUUCAUAAUUCGUAAAGGCACUACCGGUCAAAUUCAUAAUUCGUAAGGGCAAUUCUAGCUCGAGUCAUGUGGGCGAUAAUCUAGGUAGUGAGUUCGUAUUUUAAUCCACCUAGUAUUCAUCUAGGUGAGGUGUUUUUGUUCACUGCUCACUCGUCGUAUCUAAACUUAUCAUCUGCUAACGUUAUCGUUAGUCUAGCCUUAUCAUAAAUUAAAGUCACAUCACUUUGCAACAUAAAAAUAAUAACAACCUAACUACAGCAACGUAAAGAAUUUAUCCCCUUAAACCAAACCACCUUUGAAAACGAACGGAGAGUGUACAACGUGAGGGGUCGAGAUUUAAGCUAAAAGCUUGGACGUCUUAUGAACCUAAAAACGAGGAAACUAGAUCAAACUAAAUUCUAUUGAAACGUGAAACGAGCUUAGGGCGACGAUUUGGAGGAAAUCACUUCAUAAAUGAUCAUAAAGUGAGCGGAGAGGAUUCACUUCAUAAAUGAUCAUAAAGUGAUUUCCUUCCCUUUAAUCUACAAUCUCAUGGAAAAAAAUUUCUAAUUUCUUUUACUUAAAAUAAAUCAUACCAAUUAACUAUUUAUCAAUUUAUUCAAUAGAUAUUAUUAAUUUAUAAUCAUAUUGAUCCUAUUCCCAAAUGGUUCUUAUGGACUAAUUCACAUUAACCGAAUUCUUAUAAUUAAGUAUAAGUUCUAUUCAUAAUAAAAUGUACCUAAUCAUGCUAGAAAAAUGUUAAUAAUCUAUUCUCGAUUUAACUGCGCCUAAAAACUAUUAGGAAUAGAUAGUUAUUAUCACACUCAUAUUAUUUAAAAUUACCUAAUCAAUGUAUUGAUUAAUCAUAAUAAAAUACUAUAACCUUGUAAAGUCAUGAAAACAAUAGGGAUCACAGUAUUAACUAGUACUAUAUAUUGACCAUCUUAAAAUCCAAUUUAGAGCUAAUUCUAGGAUUUAAUGGAUUUUGAAAGUUAUUCGGGUACAUUCUAUCAUAACCUAAAAGGUAUAGGUCGAGGAAGGACAAUUAUUCAAUUAAGGACUGAACUAUCUGAUUCUGAAAGUUCUAUGUACGUAAUGUCAUUUCUAAAACUACAGGUUCUGAACUGAAUUACUGGAAGUCCUGUGACCAAAUUGUGAUAACCAAAACCUCCAGGGACUGUAUCGGAAACUUCCCCUAUCAUCUUCUUCCUAGAAACUUGAAAAGCACGCAGAAUUCUGGCCAAUUCAGUCCAGAAUCCGACGAGGACCAAUAAUUAUCAAACUUCGAUUUAAACGGAACCUUAACAAACUAGAAGGCUGCCUGACCUUCGUUCGAAUCAUUCUCGAUGCUUUAUAGAGGUUGAAGCCUCGAAAUACCGAUCGGAAAACGCUAUGGACGAACUCUGUUUCUUAUGGGUACCCGUUUAUGGCUCGCGAUUAACAUGGGAAAGGUCGUCGUCGACGGGAAGUUUGCUUCUGGAAGCAAACAAGAAUCGACGAGAUUUAAACAAUGCGAUCAAAUGAAUCGAUCUAUUAAUGAAUAGGAAGAGGGAUAUGCAAGGGAUUCGUUACCUACGUUUCCAAAGUUCUUGGACGGCGUUGUUGAUCGAAUUACAGAGAAGGAGAAACUUGUAUGAGUAGG